CCUAAAGGCCCGUUUACACUUGCAAUUUCGGCUGCGAUUUUAUGUGCGAUUUUCCUCUUCUGAUGCAUGUGAACGAGUGGAUGAGUUAUUAAUGUUCAGUCGAUACUACAUCAGUGAGACAUCUACUCAGAACAAACAACUUAUUUACUCGUUCACAUCCAUCAGAGGAAGAAAAUCGCACUAGAAAUCGCAGCAAAAAUUGCAAGUGUAAACGGGCCUUAA